rnacentral:rRNA from 1 species
UACGUAGGGUGCAAGCGUUGUCCGGAAUUAUUGGGCGUAAAGGGCUCGUAGGCGGUCCAUCGCGUCGGGAGUGAAAAGCUGGGGCUCAACCCCGGACUUGCAGUGGGUACGGGCAGACUAGAGUGUGGUAGGGGAGACUGGAAUUCCUGGUGUAGCGGUGAAAUGCGCAGAUAUCAGGAGGAACACCGGUGGCGAAGGCGGGUCUCUGGGCCGAAAUUGACGCUGAGGAGCGAAAGCGUGGGGAGCAAACAGG